CGGAAAGGCCCUUCGGGGUACUCGAGUGGCGAACGGGUGAGUAACACGUGGGUGAUCUGCCUCGUACUCUGGGAUAAGCCUGGGAAACUGGGUCUAAUACCGGAUAGGACCAUUGGGCGCAUGUCUGGUGGUGGAAAGUUUUUCGGUGCGAGAUGAGUCCGCGGCCUAUCAGCUUGUUGGUGGGGUAAUGGCCUACCAAGGCGACGACGGGUAGCCGGCCUGAGAGGGCGAACGGCCACACUGGGACUGAGACACGGCCCAGACUCCUACGGGAGGCAGCAGUGGGGAAUAUUGCACAAUGGGCGCAAGCCUGAUGCAGCGACGCCGCGUGAGGGAUGACGGCCUUCGGGUUGUAAACCUCUUUCAGCUGUGACGAAGCUUUCGGGUGACGGUAGCAGCAGAAGAAGCACCGGCCAACUACGUGCCAGCAGCCGCGGUAAUACGUAGGGUGCAAGCGUUGUCCGGAAUUACUGGGCGUAAAGAGCUCGUAGGCGGUUUGUCGCGUCGUUCGUGAAAUCCUGCAGCUUAACUGCAGGCGUGCGGGCGAUACGGGCAGACUUGAGUACUACAGGGGAGACUGGAAUUCCUGGUGUAGCGGUGAAAUGCGCAGAUAUCAGGAGGAACACCGGUGGCGAAGGCGGGUCUCUGGGUAGUAACUGACGCUGAGGAGCGAAAGCGUGGGUAGCAAACAGGAUUAGAUACCCUGGUAGUCCACGCCGUAAACGGUGGGUACUAGGUGUGGGUUCCUUUUCACGGGAUCCGUGCCGUAGCUAACGCAUUAAGUACCCCGC
rnacentral:rRNA from 1 species